rnacentral:rRNA from 1 species
CAGCCGCCGCGGUAAUACAGAGGUGGCGAACGUUGUUCGGAUUUACUGGGCGUAAAGGGUCCGCAGGCGGUUUGGUGUGUCAGAUGUGAAAGCCCACGGCUUAACCGUGGAAUUGCAUUUGAAACUGCCAAACUAGAGUACUGGAGGGGAGAAGGGAACACUUGGUGUAGCGGUGAAAUGCGUAGAUAUCAAGUGGAACACCGGCGGCGAAGGCGCUUCUCUGGACAGAUACUGACGCUCAUGGACGAAAGUUAGGGUAGCGAAAGGGAUUAGAUACCCCUGUAGUCCUAACCGUAAACGGUGUGCGCUAGGCGUGGGUGGCUUUACCCCCAUCCGUGCCUGAGCUAACGCAUUAAGCGCACCGCCUGGGGAGUACGGUCGCAAGAUUAAAACUCAAAGGAAUUGACGGGGACCCGCACAAGCGGUGGAGCAUGCGGCUUAAUUCGAUGCAACGCGAAGAGCCUUACCUGGGCUUGACAUAUAGCUGCAUCCGACCCGAAAGGGACGGAGCCUUCGAGGGUGCUAUACAGGUGCUGCAUGGCUGUCGUCAGCUCGUGCCGUGAGGUGUUGGGUUAAGUCCCGCAACGAGCGCAACCCCUGUGUUUAGUUGCCAGCACGUAAUGGUGGGAACUCUAAACAGACUGCUGGUGAAAACCAGAGGAAGGUGGGGAUGACGUCAAGUCAGUAUGGUCCUUAUGUCCAGGGCUGCACGCGUGCUACAAUGGGAUGUACAAUGGGAGGCUAAGCCGCGAGGUGGAGCAAAUCCUCAAAACAUCCCCCAGUUCGGAUUGUAGUCUGAAACUCGACUGCAUGAAGUUGGAAUCGCUAGUAAAGGUAUAUCAGCUACGAUACCUUGAAUACGUUCCCGGGUCUUGUACACACCGCCCGUCACAUCAUGGAAGUCGGUUGCACCCGAAGUCGUUGAUCCAACCCGUCAAGGGAGGAAGGCGCCUAAGGUGUGAUUGGUAACUGGGAUGAAGUCGUAACAAGGUAACCGUA